rnacentral:rRNA from 1 species
AUUGAACGCUGGUGGCAGGCUUAAAACAUGCAAGUCGAACGAGUGGCGGACGGGUGAGUAAUGCUUGGGAAUCUAGCUUAUGGAGGGGGAUAACGACGGGAAAAUGUAGCUAAUACCGCGUACCAUAGGAUGAGCCCAAGUGGGAUUAGGUAGUUGGGGAGGUAAAGGCUCACAAAGCCGACGAUCUCUAGCUGGUCUGAGAGGAUGACCAGCCACACUGGGACUGAGGCACGGCCCAGACUCGUACGGGAGGCAGCAGUGGGGAAUAUUGCGCGCUGGGGGCAACCUGACGCAGCCAUGCCGCGUGAAUGAAGAAGGCCUUCGGGUUGUAGAGUUCUGUCGGUAGCGAGGCGUUAACUACAGAAGAAGCACCGGCUAACUCCGUGCCAGCAGCCGCGGUAAUAC